GCGCGGGUGGUGGAAUGGCAGACACGUAAGCAUGAGGGGCUUAUGCCGAAAGGUGUGGGGGUUCAACUCCCCCCCCGCGCACCA
rnacentral:tRNA from 1 species